UUACUCCUGUAACCUAGAAGGUCUUCCCAGAGUAGACCCCCACUCUAUACUCUGCCUGACUUUUUGUCUAUAGAAAAACUUUGGUCAAAUAAUCAAUUCAGUCAGAGAAGUGAGAAAAUACAGAGAACAAGGAAAAAGUGAGACAAAAUAAUAAUAGUUUUACCAUUCAACAAAGUCAAGGACUUUUAUUUUAUUUUAUUAUUUAUUUAUUUAUUUAUUUAUUUUGUCUUUUUGCCAUUUCUUGGGCCGCUCCCGCCGCAUAUGGAGGUUCCCAAGCUAGGGGUUGAAUCAGAGCUGUAGCGGCCAGCCUAUGCCAGAGCCACAGCAACGCAGGAUCCGAGCCACGUCUGCGACCUACACCACAGGUCACGGCAAAGCCAGAUCCUUAACCCACUGAGCAAGGCCAGGGAUCGAACCCACAACCUCAUGGUUUCUAGUCGAAUUUGUUAACCACUACGCUACAGCGGGAACUCCACGGACUUUUAUUUCUUCCUCAAGGACUAUAGAUAAUAUUCUAAGCCAUGUCCAUGGAGGUUUUUGCAGUUUCUGAAGCCUCCACUGGGUGGAAGAAAUUAACUGUAUGCUGUUCAUGAAUAAGUAAACCCCAGAUGGGAUAGAACUAGGUCAAUGACGAUAACUUACAAUUAUCUCACCACCAACAAAUCAGGAAAAUGUCACCAGCUGAUCAUGACCUUAAACACUGUAAGAUUCCUCACUACUUCCUCCAAGGAGAGCACAGUCCUAUAGGCAUGUGCCUGCUUUGUUCCCUCUUUGCCUGGCAAUUAAAUCUUGUUCUUUUUCCUCCAACUCUGUUUCCAUGUUUCUAUUUGGUGUUGGCAUACAGGGGCAGUGAUUUUGGCAACAAUCCAUGACCUUCUGCUCAAACCUAUCUGCUACUGAUAAAGAAGAAACAUCUGAGAUUGGAUGUGUUAAUGAUCCCAGGUUCUUCAGAAAAGCAGUAGAACAUUUGUCUUUGGCCAGUUCUCACUUUUUUGUAGAUAUCUACCCUAAUACGUGCCAUCAAAUUAUAUAAGGAAAUGCUAAUAAUAAUAAUUGUUUGCAUAAACAGUAACUGCCCUUUCCAUUUAUUUGUGUAAUGAUUAUAAAUAAACAUUUCAUUAAACAUUACAUAUUACAUUAGGUGAUUAGGACACUCGUUCCUUUUGUAUAUUUCAUACCAUGUAAUUUAUUCCAAUGCUUCAAAAAUUAAAGAAUUUUUGUUUCAUAACAUAAUGCUCAUGAUUUAUAGCAGUAAUUUUCCAACUGAAUCCAGUCCUAGGGUUCUGAAGAAAUAGCCAAAGGGCUUUCUUAAGGGCUGGGGUGUCGAUGUAUAUAUGUCUAGGUUUAUAUUAUGUUUAUGAAUGUUGCAAGCAGAUAGGGUAAGGGCUCCCAGGAGAAAAAGAAAUAGGCAUGGAUUUCUUGAGUGAAGAAGUCAUUUUUGGCCUAAGCUAUUUGUAAUCUAAGCCUGGCCAAUGUUUUCCCUUGAAUAGGUCUCAGUAAUUAAUGAUCUUAAGGGAACAAACAAAUGCAGAAACAAAGUACUGUUUUUAAGCAGAAGAAAUAAUACCAGAGAUAAUAUAUCAGUUGUAAAGACUCCAAGCUCUUUUUCAGUCCUAAAGAUUAGCCUGAAGUAGUCAACAGUUAGAUCAAUUGGAACAUAAGGGGUGAUGAUAUUGACCUUUUAUGACCCUCCUGACUUCAAUCAACUAAAGCUUGGACUCUGUAGAUCAGCUAAGCCCCUUCAUGAAAUAUGCAUGUAUCCUUAGCUUAAAACUUCCCCAGUUUUGCUGAUGGGAAGACAACCUUUUGGGACAAAUCACUGGUAUUCUCUUUACUUGCUGCAAGUAAUAAAUCCUUCUUUCUUCUGACAUUUGAUUUGGUUGUGUCUUUUGGCUAGACAUCCACAAAGAGACAAACCUAGUUUUGAAACUGACAGUAUUAGUGGCCUGAAUCUAGCCAGAACACAAAUUGGGACUUGAACCCAUGUGCCAGGACUCAAACCCAGCCUAAACCCAGAUUGGGACUUGAGCUCACAUGCUGGGACUCGAACCUGGCCUAAACCCAGACCGGUUUUAAAUUAGAAUCACUCACCCUGUGUCUUGACUCACUGAGGUCAGGUUCUUCAUGUCUCCACGCAGAAGGAAUUCAGUGAGAGACAAAGUGAUAGGCAAGAAAUAGAUUUAUUAGGAUAGGAUGCCUGUGCAAGAUGCAGAAGCUCUGCCCUGAGGAUCAGGUGGGCUUCAGUUUUUAUCAUCCAAGGGGAGUGGGGUUGGAAGAGACCACCUCUUCCUUUCUGGGAGUAGUAGCUCCUCCUUGGUAUCAGGCAAGGCAUAUAUUCAAAUUCUCAGAAGGGUGGUCCUCAAAUUUACCCUUGGUCUGAAUAUGAAUGCAGGCCUAAUCUGAUCCCCCACCCAAUGACCUCAGGCAAUUCUCAAGCCUCCACUAAUGAAGCAAGGCUGCCUUGUGCUGCUGGUUUUCUUGAGCAAUUUAUUAACUGACAGUGAUCUCCCAAUGUCCCCUGAGUUUCCCUCUUUAAAUAUGGUCUUUUAUCAAGACUUCUACAACUACCUGUGCCUAAUCUAUCCUUAUCAGUUUCCAGUUAAUAUGAUUGUAUAUGCAUGUAUGAAUUAGUGUGUGUUUACAUAUGGGUGAAUCAGUUUGUCUGUGAAUGUAUAUGCAUUUAUGUAUGUUUGUAUUUACGUAUGGGGUUAUUCAAUGGACUGUAGCUUCAGGACUUCAUCUCUUGUAUUACCCACAGGAACUAUAAUUACAUUUAUUUUGAUUUUAAGCUCCUUAUACAUUUGUAUUUAGGAAAACAAAGCUAAAGAAAGAUUAAAAUGUAAAAGGAGCUCAGCAAACAGCUAAAAUUCAUUUAAACCCACUUUUCUAAAAUAAUUAGAGGCAUAUGUACUUUAAAUCCGCAUAUAAUCUCUCAAUUUAAUUCUACCAAAUACAUCCAACCUUUUAUCCUAAGCAAGAUAGCUUUCCACAAAUAGCCAAUUUUUCAACCAGAUUUCUCUCUCUUUUAUUCCCUGGAUCAUGUUCUAGAAGAAUUAUAAGUAGAAAAAUUGGCAAAAUCCAAAGAUCAUUUAGAAAAAAGAAAUGGAACAGAGCUAGAUAACCCAUAAAUUGCACAAUAAGCUUUAGAAUAAUGGAACUGAUUCUAGUUCAGAGAUGGUUUGGCCUAAAAUAUUCUUCCUUGUCUGCAUUUGCAUAUGCUUUCAUAGAAAACAAGGCCAAAUCACUUGGCAGUAAUAUCCUUACUAUAUUCGUCAUUUUUCUAGUGCCUGUGAAACCUUUGCUAAAUUCAUAGAAUUUUAAAAUAAAUUAUGCAUUUCCUGGAUAUUCCUGGAGAGCAAGGAAUACUAGUGGAAAUACAGCUAAGCAUAUAGAAAUACUGAUGACUAUAGGAAAUAUACAGUUUGAAUUUAGGUUUUUAGACAUGGUUUUCCAUGGAAAAUUAAACUGCCUUAAUUUUUCCUAUUUUCAGAAAUCAAAUUUAAAAAUGAGAAUGUGACACUCUCAUAAGUAAUAUACACAUUGCAUUGUACUUCAAUUUUAGGUUGCCUGCACUUCAUGCUGUAGGAUCUUAAAUUUGGCAUUAGUAUUUCUUACCAGCCCUGCAACAACUCUUCUUCCCUUUAAAGUGCAGGGUCCUGCUUUCCCUAUUAGAAAGUCUAAUUCAGGAUGUUUUAUUAUGACUCAUAAACUGCUACAAUACAUUGUAUGAGGAACCUAUCUACAAAACAGAAACAUACUCAUAGACAUGGAGGUAGACUUAUGGUUGCCAAGGGGGAAGGGGGAGAGAGUGGGAUAGAUGGGGAGUUUGGGGUUAGUAGAUGCAAACUAUUACAUUUACAAUGAAUCAGCAAUGAGGUCCUACUGUAUACAGCACAGUGAACUAUAUCCGAUCUCCUGGCAUGGACCAAGAUGGAAAAUAAUAUAUAAAAAAGAAUGUGUGUGUGUGUAUAUACACACACACACACACACACACACAUAUAUAUAUAUAUUUUUUUUUUUUCCCCCUUUGGGACCUCCCAAAGGACCCUUUUCCAAAAACCAUCCAAUUAGUGGUUAUGAUUUUAACACAUUAAUUUGGUGGAACAGGGAGACACAAAUGUGUAUAUAAACAUUCACUUUGCAGAAAUUAGGGGGUAGAUGCCUUCUCUAAUGGCAUUGGGGUUCCUUAGGACUUAGUCACAUGUCAUCUUCUGGUCUUUUGGUAUAUCUUUCAUAGCUUUAAUACAUUUUUGUAGUUUGACAAUUUUCUACUUUUUAUCACCAGGCCAGCCAGCUGUCUCUUCUAAACCCCUGAUUUAUAGAUACAGUUGUUUUUUGACAUUUUCAUUUAAAUGUCACAUUGGCAUCUCAAUUUUUAUAUGUCCCAAACUGAGUUCUUGUUUUCCAAUAACUGAUUUUUUUUUUCAGGUUCCCCAUAAUAGAAUAUGACAUGGCUUAAACAACAAGUUUUUGUUUCUUUUUCCAGUUAUGGAGGUUGUAAGUCUAAGAUCAAGGCACCUGUGAAUUUUUGUCUGGUGAGAGUUCUCUUCCUGGUUUGCAGAUGAAGUUCUCUUCAUGGUUUUCUCCUUAUAUCCUUACAUGGAAGAAAGGAGAGAAGAAGCAAGCUGUCUCUGUGUCUCUUCUUACAAAGGUACUAAUCCUAUCAUGAG
ensembl:lncRNA